rnacentral:misc_RNA from 1 species
GAAAAGUAAGCCACCAUAGUUAAAACUUAUUUUGGCAACUAGAAGAGGAGCUUGAAGAAGAAAGAAAAAAGAAAGGAAGGGAUUGCAAGGGAAAGAAAUUCUGCAUAAGGUUAGUAAGUAAACUUGACAUUUUUAGUUUAAUUAUUGUGUUUGUAGCUUAACUAACUUAGAAUUAUGCUUAAAAUAAAAUGAAAAUAAUUGUUGGAGUACUAGAAGUAAAUUCGGCCAGCUAGGGUUUGCUAUGGAUAAGCUUGUGUUUUAAUUGAAUUCAAUAUGUUAGGAAGCUUAAUUGAAUGUGGAAGUGAUAUUGGUAUGCUUAGAAUUGAUUAAAUGUAAUAAAUAUGUGAAUUAGGAUUUUGGCACCUAGGGUUUGGAAGACAAAAAUGUGAUAAUUUGUUAAAUGGUGUGGUAGACCUUGUUUGAGGUGAGAAAUGGUCAUUUGUGACCAAUUGGAGUAUGUUAGAAGUGUUGGAACCAAAUGCAAAUUCGGAUUGCUUAGGGUCAUGCUGCAGGCAGCAGGACCAAGGUCCCUUUGAGGGACCA